rnacentral:rRNA from 1 species
GAACUGAAGAGUUUGAUCCUGGCUCAGAUUGAACGCUGGCGGCAUGCCUUACACAUGCAAGUCGAACGGUAACGCGGGGCAACCUGGCGACGAGUGGCGAACGGGUGAGUAAUACAU